AACGUAGGACACGAGCGUUAUCCGGAUUUACUGGGCGUAAAGGGCAAGCAGGCGGCCUGUUAAGUCAGACGUGAAAGCUCCGGGCUAAACCGGGAGAGUGCGUUUGAGACUGGGAGGCUAGAGGGCAGCAGAGGAGCAUGGAAUUCCGGGUGGAGUGGUGAAAUGCGUAGAUAUCCGGAGGAACACCAGAGGCGAAGGCGGUGCUCUGGGCUGAACCUGACGCUGAGAUGCGAAAGCGUGGGGAGCGAAC
rnacentral:rRNA from 1 species